rnacentral:piRNA from 1 species
CACCGUGGUUCAGAAGUCUAAAGGC